UACAGAGGGUGCAAGCGUUAAUCGGAAUUACUGGGCGUAAAGCGCACGUAGGCGGUUUCUUAAGUCAGAUGUGAAAGCCCCGGGCUCAACCUGGGAAUUGCAUUUGAAACUGGGAAACUAGAGUGUGUGAGAGGGGGGUAGAAUUCCAAGUGUAGCGGUGAAAUGCGUAGAGAUUUGGAGGAAUACCAGUGGCGAAGGCGGCCCCCUGGCACAACACUGACGCUCAGGUGCGAAAGCGUGGGGAGCAAACAGG
rnacentral:rRNA from 1 species